AUUAAACGCUGGCGGAAUGCUUUACACAUGCAAGUCGAACGGCAGCACGGACUUCGGUCUGGUGGCGAGUGGCGAACGGGUGAGUAAUACAUCGGAACGUGCCCAGUCGUGGGGGAUAACGUAGCGAAAGCUACGCUAAUACCGCAUACGAUCUAAGGAUGAAAGCGGGGGAUCGCAAGACCUCGCGCGAUUGGAGCGGCCGAUGGGUGAUUAGGUAGUUGGUAGGGUAAAGGCCUACCAAGCCGACGAUCUGUAGCUGGUCUGAGAGGAUGAUCAGCCACACUGGGACUGAGACACGGCCCAGACUCCUACGGGAGGCAGCAGUGGGGAAUUUUGGACAAUGGGCGCAAGCCUGAUCCAGCCAUUCCGCGUGCAGGAUGAAGGCCUUCGGGUUGUAAACUGCUUUUGUACAGAACGAAAAGGCUCUGGUUAAUACCCGGGGCUCAUGACGGUACUGUAAGAAUAAGCACCGGCUAACUACGUGCCAGCCGCCGCGGUAA
rnacentral:rRNA from 1 species